rnacentral:rRNA from 1 species
UGGGUAACCUGCCCAUAAGACUGGGAUAACUCCGGGAAACCGGGGCUAAUACCGGAUAACAUUUUGAACUGCAUGGUUCGAAAUUGAAAGGCGGCUUCGGCUGUCACUUAUGGAUGGACCCGCGUCGCAUUAGCUAGUUGGUGAGGUAACGGCUCACCAAGGCAACGAUGCGUAGCCGACCUGAGAGGGUGAUCGGCCACACUGGGACUGAGACACGGCCCAGACUCCUACGGGAGGCAGCAGUAGGGAAUCUUCCGCAAUGGACGAAAGUCUGACGGAGCAACGCCGCGUGAGUGAUGAAGGCUU